GGGUUUGUAUAAAGCCAUUCAGAGGAUCAGCGGGGGUAGGGUGGAGAGAGCGUGUUGUGUGUAAGUUGGAUUGGGAUUUGGAUUUAGCGGCGGCGGCCGCGGGGGCUGGGACGGGCGCCUAAACGAGCGCAGCGGCGGAGAGGGUGGGUCCGUAGGGUAGGGAACCGGGCAGCAGGAUACACGACGGGGCAGUAGGCGAGGGCUCCUCGACGACGGGGCAGACGUUGGUUCCUCGGAGGUGGCAAGACCUCAGUUGACGGAUCCUCGACCGCUCCUCCGUUGACGUCAAGACCUCAGCGAGGCAGCAAGAAGAAGGAGGUGGUCGCUAGGGACAGGUCUAGCUGUGGGAACAGGACGGGGCUGAGGUCCGGUGACUUCCUCUUUUCUACCUUCCUUAUUCUCCACCUUCACUCGAGGGACGUAUACUUGUUAGCUCCGAACGUUCAUAACGCCUUUUGUUUUCCUUCAACUCUCGGAACAACUUUAUUUUUCUUUUAUAAAUCGUAACCCUCUUUUGUGCUCCGGGAGACCCCUUCAUCCGCCGAACAGGGUCGCUGGGUCCUUCUUUAAAAUAAGCCUCAACAGUAACGACGUACAUCGACCGCAGUUCACAAUACGAGCAUCGACCGCAGUUCUCAAUACAAAUAAAACUUUCACUACGUAGGUAAUCAACCAAAAGAUUAAUUAUCCCUUUUAUCUAAAGAACGUCCGACUGUUUGAACUGGUACUGGACGUCUUUCUGCUUUAUAAACACUCUCGUGUAUGAGCAUUUUAACCUCGAGGCGUGUUCGUCUAUGUGAUUAAUUUAUUGGACUUCUUCGUCGACUUGGCGGUUGUUGUGAACGUUACCUUUGAGUUAAAGCAGCUGUUCUACUUGUUCAAAGACGAGAUGAUCUCGCGUGCCUUGUUUACGUUGCUGUUUAACCUCUCUACGUAGUUCAAGAGAAAAGAGUUCCUUAGUCUUUACACCUUUGUGGUCCCUGUUUACCAUCUAUCAUCGUUCAGGUGAUCAACUAGCUUCUACAAGAGCACUAACGAAAACAACUCUUGUACCUACUGUGUAGAGGAAGUAUAUCUUCAACUAAACCGAACCACUAACUUCUCAACCAGAAGGCAUUAUAAGACAUCGUCGUCGUCAGGUCACUUGUUCUUGAACCAGAGAAUACUUGAAACCGGUAAUACAAACAUUGUACGUACAGAACAUAUAGACUGAACACACAAAGGUAUUACCAACAUCCACUCACAUCUUUUGGUUACUUAGAAGAUAUAUAUAACUUACUUACGUAACUAGUUGCUAUAGAACACUACUUAGCUUCUCACGUUAACAAACAUACAUAAUGAAUAACUUG
rnacentral:rRNA from 1 species